rnacentral:tRNA from 1 species
AUUUAAAUAGUUUAAGAUAAAAUAUUAAUUUGUGGAAUUAAUGAUAUACAAGAAGUAUUUUAAAUA